GCAAGUUUUUUCCGCUGUCCACAAGCCCUCUUCUCAAUGAGUCAAUGACUGGGCCAAAGGCGCAGCCACCAGACUCGGAGGACAUGCGGAAGGGACGCCGACCUGCCUUUGGACACGCGUGAGUACUGAGCUGAGUGGUGUGCUUGAAGAGAUGAUGUCUGAUGUCACAUUGCACCACAAGGUGGAGAGCAGACAUCACAAAAGCAGA